rnacentral:rRNA from 1 species
CCUACGGGAGGCAGCAGUGGGGAAUAUUGCACAAUGGGGGAAACCCUGAUGCAGCAAUGCCGCGUGUAUGAAGAAGGAUUUCGGUUUGUAAACUACUAUCAGUAGGGACGAAAAUGACGGUAACCAACUAAGAAGCCCCGGCUAACUACGUGCCAGCAGCCGCGGUAAUACGUAGGGAGCAAGCGUUAUCCGGAUUUACUGGGUGUAACGGUUACGUAGGCGGUUGAGCAAGUCAGACGUGAAAGCCCGGGGCUCAACCCGGGGAUUGCUUUUGAGACUGUUGGACUAGAGUGCAGUAGAGGUAGGUGGAAUUCCAGGUGUAGCGGUGAAAUGCGUAGAGAUUUGGAGGAACACCAGUGGCGAAGGCGGCCUACUGGACUGUAACUGACGCUGAGGUUCGAAAGCGUGGGGAGCAAACAGGAUUAGAUACCCGGGUAGUC